GCUUAAGAACACCAAAUACACAUUUUUAAAAAUUUGUGCAUCUGGGGUUGCAGAAAGAUUGUUUUUUUUUAUUAAUGGGGUGAUUUUUUCUUGUAAAGAUAGGGUUUUUAUUCAUUGUUGGGUUAUUUGGAGAUGAUGGGUGUUGGUAUUUGUAGAAGGAUGUAGCUGGACAAUAAUUUUCUUCAAAUUUUGAUUGAUGAUUUUUAGGCUUUCAUUUUUUUUUUUUUUAA
rnacentral:misc_RNA from 1 species